rnacentral:lncRNA from 1 species
GUAGAGGAAUUGGUUCCUGUGCUACCGGCUUAGGUUAGAACCUGCGGGGUCACACACAUUAGAGGUUCCUUUUUGAUCUGAUGGCUGAUUAUGAGUCUUAUGUGUCUGGGACUCUAUGAUUGAGAAUUAGGAUUUCUGAUCAUGAGUUCCACACAUUUUGGGUACCGGAGUCGAAAUUUUGAAUUUCAAAUUUUGAAUUUGAAAUUUGAACUCUUUGAUCAGGGUUUCAUAUCGAUGGUCUCUGAUACCAAUUGCCC